rnacentral:rRNA from 1 species
UAACCUGCCCAAGAGAUCGGGAUAACACUUGGAAACAGAUGCUAAUACCGGAUAACAACAGAUGAUGCCUAUCAACUGUUUAAAAGAUGGUUCUGCUAUCACUCUUGGAUGGACCUGCGGUGCAUUAGCUAGUUGGUAGGGUAACGGCCUACCAAGGCGAUGAUGCAUAGCCGAGUUGAGAGACUGAUCGGCCACAUUGGGACUGAGACACGGCCCAAACUCCUACGGGAGGCAGCAGAC